GGCCAGCAGGGACGCUGUGAACCGCAGGUUGUAACCUGGUCACCUCACCUGCGGGGAGCGAAUGGUGAAACCGGCCCGAUCUACC
rnacentral:ncRNA from 2 species